rnacentral:rRNA from 1 species
UACGUAGGGAGCGAGCGUUGUCCGGAAUCAUUGGGCGUAAAGAGCUCGUAGGCGGCUUGGUAAGUCGGAUGUGAAACCUCCAGGCUCAACCUGGAGUCGCCAUCCGAUACUGCCAUAGCUAGAGUCCGGUAGGGGCCCACGGAACUCCUGGUGUAGCGGUGAAAUGCGCAGAUAUCAGGAGGAACACCGGUGGCGAAGGCGGGUCUCUGGGCCGAUAUUGACGCUGAGGAGCGAAAGCGUGGGGAGCGAACAGG